GAAGUUUUCAGAGAUGAGAAUGUGCCUUCGGGAACCGUGAGACAGGUGCUGCAUGGCUGUCGUCAGCUCGUGUUGUGAAAUGUUGGGUUAAGUCCCGCAACGAGCGCAACCCUUAUCCUUUGUUGCCAGCGGUCCGGCCGGGAACUCAAAGGAGACUGCCAGUGAUAAACUGGAGGAAGGUGGGGAUGACGUCAAGUCAUCAUGGCCCUUACGACCAGGGCUACACACGUGCUACAAUGGCGCAUACAAAGAGAAGCGACCUCGCGAGAGCAAGCGGACCUCAUAAAGUGCGUCGUAGUCCGGAUUGGAGUCUGCAACUCGACUCCAUGAAGUCGGAAUCGCUAGUAAUCGUGGAUCAGAAUGCCACGGUGAAUACGUUCCCGGGCCUUGUACACACCGCCCGUCACACCAUGGGAGUGGGUUGCAAAAGAAGUAGGUAGCUUAACCUUCGGGAGGGCGCUUACCACUUUGUGAUUCAUGACUGGGGUGAAGUCGUAACAAGGUAACCGUAGGGGAACCUGCGGUUGGAUCACCUCCUUACCUGAAAGAAGC
rnacentral:rRNA from 1 species